GAUGAACGCUGGCGGCGUGCCUAAUACAUGCAAGUCGAGCGAACAGACGAGGAGCUUGCUCCUCUGACGUUAGCGGCGGACGGGUGAGUAACACGUGGAUAACCUACCUAUAAGACUGGGAUAACUUCGGGAAACCGGAGCUAAUACCGGAUAAUAUAUUGAACCGCAUGGUUCAAUAGUGAAAGACGGUUUUGCUGUCACUUAUAGAUGGAUCCGCGCCGCAUUAGCUAGUUGGUAAGGUAACGGCUUACCAAGGCAACGAUGCGUAGCCGACCUGAGAGGGGGAUCGGCCACACGGGAACGGAAACACGGUCCAGGAUCCUGCGGGAGGCAGCAGUAGGGAAUCUGCCGCAAUGGGCGAAAACCUGACGGAGCAAGGCCGCGUGAGUGAUAGAGGUCUUCGGAGCGUAAAACUCUGUUAUUAGGGAAAAACAAAUGUGUAAGGAACUAUGCACGUCUUGACGGUACCUAAUCAGAAAGCCACGGCUAACUACGUG
rnacentral:rRNA from 1 species